rnacentral:rRNA from 1 species
CCUACGGGUGGCUGCAGUGAGGAAUAUUGGUCAAUGGUCGGGAGACUGAACCAGCCAAGCCGCGUGAGGGAGGAAGGUACAGAGUAUCGUAAACCUCUUUUGUCAGGGAACAAAGACUGGGACGCGUCCCCGGAUGAGUGUACCUGAAGAAAAAGCAUCGGCUAACUCCGUGCCAGCAGCCGCGGUAAUACGGAGGAUGCGAGCGUUAUCCGGAUUUAUUGGGUUUAAAGGGUGCGCAGGCGGUCUGUUAAGUCAGCGGUCAAAGCCCGGGGCUCAACCCCGGCCCGCCGUUGAAACUGGGGAUCUAGAGUGUGCGAGAGGUAUGCGGAAUGCGUGGUGUAGCGGUGAAAUGCAUAGAUAUCACGCAGAACCCCGAUUGCGAAGGCAGCAUACCGGUGCACAACUGACGCUCAGGCACGAAAGCGUGGGUAUCGAACAGGAUUAGAUACCCGAGUAGUC